GAAAGGUGCCAGUCACUUAGAUUACAUGUCACUGUUUCCUUUCUGAGUGGAGUAGGGCUUACCAAGUACAAGUGUGUGGUGGUCUUCAGACAGGCGAUGAGUUGGAGUUGCUGGAGCCCUAAGUUGUCUUCAAUGAUGCCAGGAGAUCCUAGCUGGCCACCUGAACCUCAGACAUCCUCUAGAUGAUUUCAGUGGUUCAUUCCUAAUAAUGAGAAUACCUAUAUGAUAGAGAAGAGAAGGAUAGAAGACGUGAAGAUACUUCCUAAUAGAAGAACAGAAAAACAAGCUUGUUCUCUCGUGGUCCUGGCAACCAUCUGGGUAAACAUGAAGCCAAGUGAGAGUGCUCUUGCUGAGGGAAACAUACAUGAUGGAGGGCAGUGGGCUGGACAUUCUCUAGGAUGGGGAUUCACAUUGCACGAUGGAGUAGCCCCUCCCCAUUCGUCCAUAAUAUGUUCCAGAAAGGUGCCAGUCACUUAGAUUAUAUGUAACUAGUUCCUCUCUGAGUGGACUAAGGCUUACCAAGUACAAGCAUAUAGUUGCCUGUAGACCCCUGAUGUGGAGUUCCAAGGGCCUUGAGCUGCCUUCCCUGAUGCCAGGAGAUCCUAUUUGGCCACAUGGACCUCAGGCAUCCUCAAGAUAAUUCUACUGGUGCAUUCCUAAUGAUGUAGACUCCAUCAUGUUAAAGAAGAAAGUGAUAGAAGAGAUGAAGAUACUUCCUAGUUGAAGAAUAGAAAACGGGAACAAGCUUGUUUUCUCCUGGUCUGGGCAAUCAUCCAGGUAAACAUAGAGCAGGUGAGAGGGCACUGAGGGAGACAUGCAAGUUGGGGGCUUGUGGGCUGGGCAUUAUUUUGAACUGAUGAAUAAAUAAGUUCAGGAUUCAGGCAUCAUACCGUGCUCAGAGGAGUGAUGAAAGCUGCAGGGUAUGAAAAUGCAAGAUGGGGCAGCACUUCCCCUUUCGACCAUGCUGUGUUCAGGGCUAUUCCCAGAAAGGUGUCUGAUAUGGUUUGGCUGUGUCCCCACCCAAAUCUCACCUUGAAUCAUAGUUCCCAUAAUCCCCAUGUGUCAUGGGAGGGACCCAGUGGGAGGUAAUUGAAUCAUGGGGGCGGUUACUCCCAUGCUGCUGAUCUCAUGAUAGUGAGUUCUCACAAGAUCUGAUGGUUUUAUAAGGGGCUUUCACCCGCUUUGCUCAACACUUCUCAUUCCUGCCGCCAUGUAAAGAAGGACGUGUUUGCUUCCCCUUCUACCGUAAUUGCAAGUUUCCUGAGGUUUCCCCAGCCAUGCUGAACUGUGAG
rnacentral:lncRNA from 1 species